rnacentral:rRNA from 1 species
ACGAACGCUGGCGGCGUGCUUAACACAUGCAAGUCGAACGGAAAGGCCUCUUUCGGGGGGUACUCGAGUGGCGAACGGGUGAGUAACACGUGAGUAACCUGCCCUUGACUUUGGGAUAACUUCAGGAAACUGGGGCUAAUACCGGAUAGGAGCUCCUGCUGCAUGGUGGGGGUUGGAAAGUUUCGGCGGUUGGGGAUGGACUCGCGGCUUAUCAGCUUGUUGGUGGGGUAGUGGCUUACCAAGGCUUUGACGGGUAGCCGGCCUGAGAGGGUGACCGGCCACAUUGGGACUGAGAUACGGCCCAGACUCCUACGGGAGGCAGCAGUGGGGAAUAUUGCACAAUGGGUGGAAGCCUGAUGCAGCAACGCCGGGUGCGGGAUGACGGCCUUCGGGUUGUAAACCGCUUUCGCUCAUGACGAAGCUUUGUGUGACGGUAGUGGGUAAAGAAGCACCGGCUAACUACGUG